rnacentral:rRNA from 1 species
ACGGAAGGCAGCAGUGGGGGAUAUUGCACAAUGGGGGAAACCCUGAUGCAGCAACGCCGCGUGAGGGAAGAAGGUUUUCGGAUUGUAAACCUCUGUCCCCGGGGAAGAUAAUGACGGUACCCGGGGAGGAAGCUCCGGCUAACUACGUGCCAGCAGCCGCGGUAAUACGUAGGGAGCGAGCGUUGUCCGGAAUUACUGGGUGUAAAGGGUGCGUAGGCGGCUGUGCAAGUCAGGCGUGAAAUGCAGGGGCUUAACCCCUGAGCUGCGUUUGAAACUGCACGGCUUGAGUGAAGUAGAGGUAGGCGGAAUUCCCGGUGUAGCGGUGAAAUGCGUAGAGAUCGGGAGGAACACCAGUGGCGAAGGCGGCCUACUGGGCUUUAACUGACGCUGAGGCACGAAAGCAUGGGUAGCAAACAGGAUUAGAUACCCUGGUA